GACGAACGCUGGCGGCGUGCCUAAUACAUGCAAGUCGAACGCUUCUUUCCUCCUGAGUGCUUGCGCUCAAUUGGAAAGAGGAGUGGCGGACGGGUGAUUAACACGUGGGUAACUUAGCCUUCAGAGGGGGAUAUCACUCGGAAACAGGUGCUAAUAUCGCAUAACAGUUUAUGCCGCAUGGCAUUUGGGUGAAUGGCGCUUUCGGCUGUCGCUGUUGGCUGGUCCGGCGGUGGAUUAGCUAGCAGGUGUGGUAACGGCUCACCAUGGCCACGAUGCAUAGCCGACCUGAGAGGAUGAUCGGCCACACUGGGAGGGAGACAGGCCCCAUACUCCUACGGGAGGCAGCAGUAGGGAAUCGGCGGCAAUGGACGAAAGUCUGACCGAGCAGCGGGGCGUGAGUUAAGAAAGUGUUCGGAGCGUAAAGCUCUGUUGUUAGUUAAGAACAAGGUCGUUAGGAACUGAACGGCGCCUGACGGUAACUAACCAGAAAGCCACGGCUAACUACGUG
rnacentral:rRNA from 1 species